GCCGUCCUACGGGGCGCAGCAGUGGGGGAUAUUGCACAAUGGGGGAAACCCUGAUGCAGCGACACUGCGUGGGUGAAGAAGCGCUUCGGCAUGUAAAGCCCUAUCAGUGGGGAAGAAAAAGGACGGUACCCAAAGAAGAAGCACCGGCUAAAUACGUGCCAGCAGCCGCGGUAAUACGUAUGGUGCAAGCGUUAUCCGGAAUGACUGGGUGUAAAGGGAGCGUAGACGGUUGUACAUGUCUGAUGUGAAAGCCCACGGCUCAACUGUGGGAGUGCAUUGGAAACUGUAGAACUAGAGUAUCGGAG
rnacentral:rRNA from 1 species